rnacentral:rRNA from 1 species
CCUACGGGAGGCAGCAGUGGGGAAUAUUGCACAAUGGGGGAAACCCUGAUGCAGCGACGCCGCGUGAGUGAAGAAGUAAUUCGUUAUGUAAAGCUCUAUCAGCAGGGAAGAAAAUGACGGUACUUGAGUAAGAAGCCCCGGCUAACUACGUGCCAGCAGCCGCGGUAAUACGUAGGGGGCGAGCGUUAUCCGGAUUGACUGGGUGUAAAGGGAGCGUAGACGGCAGUGCAAGUAUGGAGUGAAAGGCGGGGGCUCAACCCGCGGACUGCUCUGGAAACUGUACGGCUGGAGUGCAGGAGAGGUAGGUGGAAUUCCUAGUGUAGCGGUGAAAUGCGUAGAUAUUAGGAGGAACACCAGUGGCGAAGGCAGCUUACUGGACUGUAACUGACGUUGAGGCUCGAAAGCGUGGGGAGCAAACAGGAUUAGAUACCCUUGUAGUC